CAGUCGCCACGGUAAUACGGAGGGGGCUAGCGUUGUUCGGAAUUACUGGGCGUAAAGCGCGCGUAGGCGGUUACUCAAGUCAGAGGUGAAAGCCCGGGGCUCAACCCCGGAACUGCCUUUGAAACUAGGUGACUAGAAUCUUGGAGAGGUCAGUGGAAUUCCGAGUGUAGAGGUGAAAUUCGUAGAUAUUCGGAAGAACACCAGUGGCGAAGGCGACUGACUGGACAAGUAUUGACGCUGAGGUGCGAAAGCGUGGGGAGCAAACAGGAUUAGAUACCCCAGUAGUCCCUGUCUCUUAUAC
rnacentral:rRNA from 1 species